GGUUCAGUGGCACGGUGGAUAGCGCGUCAUCAUAAUCAUUGAAGCUGUUCAUAUGUCUACAAUGAAGGCCCCUUGUUCGAGUCAGGGCUGCACCA